GGUUUCGUAGUGUAGCGGCCAUCUCCUGCGCCUAACACGCGCAAGGUUCCCGGUUCGAUCCUGGGCGGAAACA